CUUGAAUUAACCAUAAGAGGUCCAGCCUGCCCAGUGACAUUGUUCAACGGCCGCGGUAUCCUAACCGUGCGAAGGUAGCGUAAUCACUUGUCCUUUAAAUGAGGACUAGUAUGAACGGCCACACGAAAGCUAUGCUGUCUCCUUUUUCUAAUCAGUUAAACUAAUCUCCCCGUGAAGAAGCGGGGAUAAUCAUAUAAGACGAGAAGACCCUAUGGAGCUUUAAACAAUUGAAACACUUGUACCUAUCCUCCACACUUCCGACAAUCUACACUUAAUUUUACACUUUGUUUCUAGCUUUAGGUUGGGGUGACCACGGAGAAAAAACAAACCUCCACGCUGAAAGAGUUAAUCUCUAAACAAAAAGCUACAUCUUUAAGUAUUAAUACAUUAACCUAAAUUGACCCAAUAAAUUGAUCAACGAAC
rnacentral:rRNA from 1 species